rnacentral:rRNA from 1 species
GACGAACGCUGGCGGCGUGCUUAACACAUGCAAGUCGAACGGAAAGGCCCUGCUUUUGUGGGGUGCUCGAGUGGCGAACGGGUGAGUAACACGUGAGUAACCUGCCCCUGCCUUUGGGAUAACUUCAGGAAACUGGGGCUAAUACCGGAUAGGAGCUCCUGCUGCAUGGUGGGGGUUGGAAAGUUUCGGCGGUUGGGGAUGGACUCGCGGCUUAUCAGCUUGUUGGUGGGGUAGUGGCUUAGCAAGGCUUGGACGGGUAGCCGGGCUGAGAGGGGGACCGGCCACAUUGGGACUGAGAUGCGGCCCAGACUCCUACGGGAGGGAGCAGUGGGGAAUAGUGCACUAUGGGCGGAAGCCUGAUGCAGCAACGCCGCGUGCGGGAUGACGGCCUUGGGGUUGUAAUCCGCUUUCGCCUGUGCCGAAGCGUGAGUGACGGUAAUGGGUAAAGAAGCACCGGCUAACUACGUG